GAUGAACGCUGGCGGCGUGCCUAAUACAUGCAAGUCGAGUGAACGGACGAGAAGCUUGCUUCUCUGAUGUUAGCGGCGGACGGGUGAGUAACACGUGGAUAACCUACCUAUAAGACUGGGAUAACUUCGGGAAACCGGAGCUAAUACCGGAUAAUAUUUUGAACCGCAUGGUUCAAAAGUGAAAGACGGUCUUGCUGUCACUUAUAGAUGGAUCCGCGCUGCAUUAGCUAGUUGGUAAGGUAACGGCUUACCAAGGCAACGAUGCAUAGCCGACCUGAGAGGGUGAUCGGCCACACUGGAACUGAGACACGGUCCAGACUCCUACGGGAGGCAGCAGUAGGGAGUCUUCCGCAAUAGGCGAAAGCCUGACGGAGCAACGCCGCGUGAGUGAUGAAGGUCUUCGGAUCGUAAAACUCUGUUAUUAGGGAAGAACAUAUGUGUAAGUAACUGUGCACAUCUUGACGGUACCUAAUCAGAAAGCCACGGCUAACUACGU
rnacentral:rRNA from 1 species